CAACCCUCAAGCCCCCGCGGCUUGGUGUUGGGGGCCUGCGCACCGCAGCCCCCUAAAGACAGCGGCGGGCGUGGCCUGGCACCGAACGUAGUAGACUCUCUCUCGUUCGCGGUCCAGUUCGCGCUCCGGCCGGUAAACCCCCAUCUUUUAACAAU
rnacentral:misc_RNA from 2 species